UACGUAGGGGGCUAGCGUUGUCCGGAUUUAUUGGGCGUAAAGAGCGUGUAGGCGGCCAGGUAGGUCUGCUGUGAAAACUCGAGGCUCAACCUCGAGAGGUCAUCGGAAACCAUCUGGCUAGAGUCCGGAAGAGGAGAGUGGAAUUCCCGGUGUAGCGGUGAAAUGCGCAGAUAUCGGGAAGAACACCUAUGGCGAAGGCAACUCUCUGGGACGGUACUGACGCUGAGACGCGAAAGCGUGGGGAGCGAACAGG
rnacentral:rRNA from 1 species